GGCCAGACUCCUACGGGAGGCAGCAGUGGGGGAUAUUGCACAAUGGGGGAAACCCUGAUGCAGCGACGCCGCGUGGGUGAAGAAGUAUUUCGGUAUGUAAAGCCCUAUCAGCAGGGAAGAAAGAAGACGGUACCUGACUAAGAAGCCCCGGCUAACUACGUGCCAGCAGCCGCGGUAAUACGUAGGGGGCGAGCGUUAUCCGGAUUCACUGGGUGUAAAGGGAGCGUAGGCGGCCGUGCAAGCCAGGAGUGAAAGCCCGGGGCCCAACCCCGGGACUGCUCUUGGAACUGUGCGGCUGGAGUGCGGGAGGGGCAGGCGGAAUUCCUGGUGUAGCGGUGAAAUGCGUAGAUAUUAGGAGGAACACCAGUGGCGAAGGCGGCCUGCUGGACAGAAACUGACGUUGAGGCUCGAAAGCGUGGGGAGCAAACAGGAUUAGAUACCCUAGUA
rnacentral:rRNA from 1 species